rnacentral:rRNA from 1 species
GACGAACGCUGGCGGCGUGCCUAAUACAUGCAAGUCGAACGCUGAAGAGAGGAGCUUGCUCUUCUUGGAUGAGUUGCGAACGGGUGAGUAACGCGUAGGUAACCUGCCUUGUAGCGGGGGAUAACUAUUGGAAACGAUAGCUAAUACCGCAUAACAAUGGAUGACACAUGUCAUUUAUUUGAAAGGGGCAAUUGCUGCACUACAAGAUGGACCUGCGUUGUAUUAGCUAGUAGGUGAGGUAACGGCUCACCUAGGCGACGAUACAUAGCCGACCUGAGAGGGUGAUCUGCCACACUGGGACUGGGACACGGCCCAGACUCCUACGGGAGGCAGCAGUAGGGAAUCUUCGGCAAUGGGGGCAACCCUGACCGAGCAACGCCGCGUGAGGGAAGAAGGUUUUCGGAUCGGAAAGCUCUGUUGUAAGUCAAGAACGAGUGUGAGAGUUGAAAGUUCACACUGUGACGGUAGCUUACCAGAAAGGGACGGCUAACUACGUG